rnacentral:rRNA from 1 species
ACGAACGCUGGCGGCGUGCUUAACACAUGCAAGUCGAACGGAAAGGCCCUGCUUUUGUGGGGUGCUCGAGUGGCGAACGGGUGAGUAACACGUGAGUAACCUGCCCUUGACUUUGGGAUAACUUCAGGAAACUGGGGCUAAUACCGGAUAGGAGCUCCUGCUGCAUGGUGGGGGUUGGAAAGUUUCGGCGGUUGGGGAUGGACUCGCGGCUUAUCAGCUUGUUGGUGGGGUAGUGGCUUACCAAGGCUUUGACGGGUAGCCGGCCUGAGAGGGUGACCGGCCACAUUGGGACUGAGAUAUGGCCCAGACUCCUACGGGAGGCAGCAGUGGGGAAUAUUGCACAAUGGGCGGAAGCCUGAUGCAGCAACGCCGCGUGCGGGAUGACGGCCUUCGGGUUGUAAACCGCUUUCGCCUGUGACGAAGCGUGAGUGACGGUAAUGGGUAAAGAAGCACCGGCUAACUACGUG